UACGAAGGGGGCUAGCGUUGUUCGGAAUCAUUGGGCGUAAAGCGCACGUAGGCGGUUCGUUAUGUCGGAUGUGAAAGCCCUUGGCUUAACCGAGGAAGUGCAUCCGAAACUGGCGAGCUAGAGUACUAAAGAGGAUCGCGGAAUUCCCGGUGUAGAGGUGAAAUUCGUAGAUAUCGGGAGGAACACCGGUGGCGAAGGCGGCGAUCUGGGUAGAUACUGACGCUGAGGUGCGAAAGCGUGGGGAGCAAACAGG
rnacentral:rRNA from 1 species